rnacentral:rRNA from 1 species
GACGAACGCUGGCGGCGCGCUUAACGCAUGCAAGUCGAGCGAGAACCAGUCCUUCGGGACUGGGGAAAGCGGCGAACGGGUGAGUAACACGUGGGUAAUCUGCCCUCGGCACUGGGAUAGCCCGGGGAAACCCGGAUUAAUACCGGAUAGCCUUUCGAGCCUUCGGGCUCGUCAGAAAAGGUGGCUUCGGCUUCCGGCUGAGGCUGAGCCCGCGGCGGAUUAGCUUGUUGGUGGGGUAAUGGCCUACCAAGGCGACGAUCCGUAGCUGGUCCGAGAGGACGAUCAGCCACACUGGGACUGAGACACGGCCCAGACUCCUACGGGAGGCAGCAGUGGGGAAUCUUGCGCAAUGGGCGAAAGCCUGACGCAGCGACGCCGCGUGCGGGAAGAAGGCCUUCGGGUUGUAAACCGCUUUCAGGAGGGACGAAGCCACUCGGGUUAAUAGCCCAGAGGGUGACGGUACCUCCAGAAGAAGCCCCGGCUAACUACGUGCCAGCAGCCGCCGUAA